rnacentral:lncRNA from 1 species
UCACUUUGGAUUAAACUUAUUACCCCAGACUUGAGCCAAGAGCUCACCUUCAUCAUGACCACUCAGCUAUUAGCAUCUUGGAGUAUUGCAGUGUAAAUGGAUCAUACAGAAGUUCUUCUGGUUUUAGAAUAAAAUGGCAAAGUUGGAGAGAGCUCCCAUGAAGAUAAUGCUCUAGUCAGGCCUGCAAAUAUUGGCUGAAUAGAUGGUUUGGAUAGAAAGUUUCAAGCAAAGAAUCUGACUAAGUACUAUUAUGAGUUAACUAAAUUGAGGAAAUCUAAAAAUUUCUCAUAAAGUUUCAGAAUGGAAUUAAUUCUUAUGCUACCUUUCAUAGAUGCCCAGUUUCUUAAGAAAUUACCCUUGCUUUUGGACAGUGAGCCACAUCUUGGAUUCAUUCGAGGCCUCUGUGUUGCUCCACUGGAUGAAGCUGACUGCCCUGGCAAUAUGACUGUGACUACGCAGCUUGGAAUGAAGUUUUAAGAAGAAUUCUGGAUUGAUGUAUAGAAGAUGCGAGGAAGCAAGAGACAGACUACAAAAUGAUACUAAGCAGAACUAGAAAGAAAUGUAAUAAUCAUCUUAGUCAACUCACUCAAUUUCUGGUGUCUGGUGUGUGUGUGUGUGUGUGUGUGUGUGUGUGUGUGUGUGUGUAUUAGGGGUGGAGAGCAAGGAAAUUUAGCAGAGAGGUUGCCUAAGGUCACAAGCUAAUUAACAGCAGAAAUAGGCUAGACCUGACUCACAGUUUAGGACUAGAUCCCCUAUAUGAGGGGUCCCCAACCCCCAGGCCACAGAUUGGGACUGGUCUCUGGUCUGGUAGGAACUGGGCCACACAGCAGGAGGUGAGCAGUGAGUGAGUGAGUGAGUGAAGCUUCAUUUGUUUUUACAGCUGCUCCCCAUACCUCCCAUUACCACCUGAGCUCCACCUCCUGUCAGAUCAGCCCUAGCAUUAGAUUCCCAUAGGAGUGCAAAUUCUAUUGUGAAUUCUACAUGGGAGGGAUCUAGGAUCUAGGUUCCACACUCCUUAUGAGAAUCAAAUGCCUGAUGAUCUAUCACUGUCUCCCAUCACCCCCAUAUAGGACUCUCUAGUUGCAGGAAAACAAGUCCAGGACUCCAACUGAUUGUGCCUUAUGGUGAGUUGUAUAAUUAUGUCAUUAUGUAUUACAAUGUGAUAAUAAUAUAAAUAAAGCACACAAUAAAUGUAAUGCACUUAAAUCAUUCCAAAGUAUCCCCCACCCCCCAGGGCCUGUAAAAAAAUUGUCUUCAAUGAAACCCAUUCCUGGUGCCAAAAAGGUUGGAAACCACUGCCCUAUAUCAUUGUUAAGAAUCUAUGGCAACAUCCAGAAGCUAACAAAGGAAGGCCAGAAGUGGGGCCUGACAUUUUAUCCCGAUUAGAAAGCCAUUUGAGAGGAAGUAGAACAUAAGAAUCAAUCAGCCAGGCAUGUUGGCUCACGCCUGUAAUCCCAGCACUUUGGGAGGCUGAAGUGUGUAGGUGGCUUGAGCUCAGGAGUUCAAGACCAGCCCGGGCAACAUGGAGAAACCCUGUCUCUACAAAAAAUCCAAAAAAUUUAGCCAGGUGUGGUGGCCUGUGCCUGUAGUCCCAGCUACUUGGGAGGCUGAGGUGGGAGGAUUGCUUGAAUCCAGGAGGUCAAGGCUGCGGUGAGCCAAGAUGGCUCUAGCCUGGGUGACAGAGCAAGACCCUGUCUCAAAAAAAAAAAAAAAGAAUCAAUGAAGAUAUGAUUGGUAAUUGAAUUGUGUAUUCGUUUCCUAUUGCUGCUCUACCAAAUGACCAUAGACUAGAUGGGUUAGAGCAGCACAAGUUUAUUAUCUUACCAUCCUGAAAGGUCAGAGGCCUGAAAUUGGUUCCACUGGGCUAAAAUCAAGAUUUCAAUAGGGCUGCCUUCCUGCCGGGUAAUGUAGGAGAUCUGUUUUCUUGCCUUUUCCAGGUUCUGGAGGUUGCCUGCAUUCCUUGGCUCCUGAAUCUCUAUCAUCUUCAAAGCCAGAAAUUUCCUUUUGAGUCUUUCUGAGGCUGCAUCACUCUGACCUUGACUCUUCCAUCUCCAUCUUCAUACUUAAAGGAUGCUGGUGAUUACGUUGGGCCCUCCCGUACAAUCUAGGAUACAUUUUUAACCUUAAGGUCAGUUUAUUAGCAACCAUAAUACCCCCCUUGGAUAUAAUGUAGCAUAUUCAUAGGUUUCAGAAAUUAGGACAUGGACAUCUUUGGGGGAAAGGGAGGAAGCCAUUAUUCUGCCUACCAUAGACCAUAGACCAUUCUGCCUACCAUUAUUUUACCAUAUGGAGGUAAAAUAAAUAAAAGAUAACACCAAGCUUUUAUAAUUGAGAAACUGUAAAGACAAGGGUACACAUGACAGAAAUAAAGAAGCUGAAGAGGGGAAACUGAUAGGGGGGCAAAUCAUCUGAGAAAUGUCGUGCUUUAAUUUGUGGUGUUCUAUUCAGAUGAAAUAUCCCAACAGGCAUUAUGAAAGCUGAGGGUUAGAAAUGUUGCUAGUUAGUGCUAACUCCUACUGUAGUAAGACCUUUUUCAUGUUCUUAUUUUUUUCUAUCAGUAUGUUUCCUUAUAUUCAACACUUUUUGGCAGUAAAACUUAAAGACAGAAUAUAUAUAAAUGUCUGCUAUGCAUGACAGAUUUCAUAUUAUGAUUAACAUGCCUUACUAUUCCAGAAUUUAGUUAUCUUGCCUUUAAAAUGAUUUUCUCAUGGACACAUAGUGUUAUAUUAUGUAUAAGAAGCUUAAAAAAGGUUCUAUGUGUUUCUUAUAGUGCCAGUGUUUUAAUGGUAUUCUAUACAACUUCAGAUGAAAACUCUUCUAUUUAAUAGAUGCAGUAUUCAAAGUUGAAAGACAGUUAUCUUUAUAAACUAAAAUAACAGCAGUUGGCUGUGAUUAAAAACAUUUUCAGAUAGUUGCACAUAUCACUAACAGGUACCACUGCAAAUUAUUCCAAAUAGCAUUCCAGAGCCAGUGCCAACUUUCUAUCAUUUUGAGAAAUUUAUUUCCCUAAGUAUACUGCUUCUAAAGUUUAUUCUGAUUCUGUGAUUGGUCAAUGCUGAUAGGGUACAAGAAAAAACAAGAUAGCAAGACUUAUAUGGUACGGCAAUUAAAACAGCACUUUAUUAACAUAAGGCAAGACAAAUAGACUAAGGGGAAAGAAUAAAUAAUUCAGAAACACAAAAAUCUAUACAGGAAACUUGAUAUACAACACUUAUAAAUCAGUAGGGCAAGGGCUGUGGGACAAGUAGCGAUUUGAGGAAAAGGGUAAAAGUAUUUAUCUAUUUUAUACAAUACAAAAAAUAAAUUUCAGGUGGAUUAACAUCCAUAUAUGACAACCAAAACCUUACAAUGUUUAGAAAAAAUAUAGCAGAAUAUGCUCAUAUCACUAAAAUUCCUGGCCAUUAGGACAGAGAUGGUUAAAUUUAAUGAUACAAAAAUUUAAAAUUUGCAUCUGACAACAAUGCUAUUUAAAAUUUUUAAAUACAAGCCAAAAUUGGGAAAUACAGAUUUUUGAAAUAUGUAUAACUAACAGAGGAUUAUUAUCCAGACUAUAUAAACAGUCCUUGCAAAGGAAAAGAAAAACAUUCACAGAAGCAACACCUAAAUAGCAACAAACACAUGAAAAAAAAGUUUGAUCUCACCAUAAUUCAAGAAAAUAAAAUUAAAAUGCAAUGAGGUAUUAUUUCAUUACCAUCAAAUUGACAAAAAAUUUGAAAUGAUAAUUUUAAAUGAUGAUCAGGGGUUGGAGGUAAUAAUAUUUCAAUAUUUCAACCACUGCCAGCAAGGAUGCAAUUUGGUAUAAGAUUUGAAAAUAAGCUUAUACUGUACUUUAUUUAAACUGAUCAUAACCUAUAACCUAGAAACUUCCAAUUUCAGGUAUAUACCCCUAGAUAAAUAUAUGUAGACAUGCCCACAGAAACAUAUUCAAGAAAUGUUUUUUUCCCAGUAUUUUUUGUAGUGAUGAAGAUUUGGAAACAACUUAUAUUUUCACCACUAGAACAAUAGAUAUUAAUUGUGUUAUUUUAGCACAAUGGAAUACUAUACAGAAUUUAAGUAUAUAAACUAGAUCUACAUAUGUUUAUAUGGACAGAUUUAAACUUUUAAAACACCACACAAUGUGUAAAAAGCAAGCUGUGAAGUCUAUUUUUUCAUUAUGCCAUUUAUGUAAAAUGUAAAAAACAUUCCAAAUAGACUCAUGUUUUAUUUAUAGACAUACAUAUAAUUAGUA